CUAGCUUUUGAUGAAAGCUUAAGUGAACUUAAAAUAUAAAAUUAAUAGGGACUAAUUUUGUCAUCAUAUUCUAGUUUCAUUUGCGCGGUACAGUCAGAAAUUAAUUGCUUUGAAUUACAGUUUCCUUAAAAUCAAAAAGUGCAAACUGCAGUUAACUGCGAUUAACUAAGAUGGCCAUCGGAUGGGUAAAAAGUAAACUCUAGAGUUUAAGUUUUAGAAAUCGGUUUAGGCGCGAUCAGAAUUGUGCCCAAACCGAUUUUCGAAACAAAAUUUAAAAUU